ACGGAAGGCAGCAGUGGGGAAUAUUGGGCAAUGGGCGAAAGCCUGACCCAGCAACGCCGCGUGAAGGAAGAAGGUCUUCGGAUUGUAAACUUCUUUUAUGAGGGACGAAUGAAUGACGGUACCUCAUGAAUAAGCCACGGCUAACUACGUGCCAGCAGCCGCGGUAAUACGUAGGUGGCAAGCGUUAUCCGGAUUUACUGGGUGUAAAGGGCGCGUAGGUGGGAAAGCAAGUCAGAUGUGAAAUCCAUGGGCUCAACUCAUGAACUGCAUUUGAAACUGUUUUUCUUGAGUGUCGGAGAGGUAGAUGGAAUUCCUAGUGUAGCGGUGAAAUGCGUAGAUAUUAGGAGGAACACCAGUGGCGAAGGCGGCUUACUGAACUGUAACUGACGUUGAGGCUCGAAAGCGUGGGGAGCAAACAGGAUUAGAUACCCUGGUA
rnacentral:rRNA from 1 species